UGCCCAAGGCAAAUGCCGUCUCCUGUCCAAGGGGCUCAUCCCACUCCUCGCAAAAGGAGACCAGAGCGGGAAAUGCUGUGUGAUUAUGGCGCCGGCUACGGCAAGCUGACCUUCGGCUCAGGGACCAGGCUGUCCGUCCAGCCCAAUGUUACUCCAUCUCCUUCAGUUUACAGGCUGAUCUCUAAGGAUGAUGAGGAUUUGGAAAUAUGCCUUAUCACAGAUUACUCCCCUGAAAAUCUUACUCUUAACUCAGCUUAUAAGCGGACAAAUGCUGUUGUGGAGGUGGCAACAUCCGAGAACAAACAGGAAGUGAGCUACCUGUCAACCUACUGGGCCAAGAAGGAUAAAAUGCAGUGUGGUGCAAAUCACGAGGGCUUUGGAGAACUGCGGGGCGAGGAUCCUGAAAGUGGUGCCAGCACUGUCUGUGUUACAAGCUUGUCUCUACACUUCAGGACAGAUGAAAACCUGAACAUGCUGUCUUUAUCACAGCUGGGCCUGAAAAUAAUUUUAAUGAAAGGAAUAAUUUUUAAUGUGCUGAUGACGAUGCUUAUGUGGAAAAAAAAGAGUGAAAGUAACCAGAUGGUGCAGUCCUGAAGUAACAAAAGAAUCUUCUGAGGAAUCUACCAGAGUAUCGUGUGCAAUAGGGAACACAGGCAUUUCUGUUGCAUGGGAUAUCACUUGUUGUUUCUGUAUAUCACGCCAGCCAUUAUAGUCUAAAUUGCUUUAUUUGCAUUGUUAUAAAGGUACUCAAAAAUAAGCUUAAAAUUUUCAGCACUCUGCUCCCGCAGGUGCCUGAUUCAUUUAGCAUGACAAUGCCUCUUUUUGCAUGAAGCAUAGUUUACUAUAUCUAUAAAUUGCCAAACAUCACUAUUACUUGUGUUAAAAUGACACACAAUUUCUGCUUGGGGCAGUGUUGUUUGUUGAAAACUGCAAGCUAAAUAUCACUUGAAUGUGAAUUUUUCAUAUUUUGGUGGCUUUCAGGUAUGCGUGUCUUAGAGUGCACCCCCACAGACACCAUUUCAGUUGCAAAUGAAACACUGAAAAAUAAACGGAGACUUAUCCAGGGUGCUGUGCACCAUGUCCUGCUACCUUUUGCUAGAUCAGAGCAAGGUAUCUUUUUUAUUCCCUUAAAAGAUAUGCUGCCAGGUCUCCCAGAAGACCUGAAUUCAGUGAAAUUCUCACUUCAUUAUCACAGAACAAAAUAAUGUUUUUUAGUAUUGUUUAAAGUCUAUCUGGCCUUAACAUUUUCUGAAUUUAAACCAGCUUAAGAUUGGCUUUGUGUUUAG